UACAGAGGGGGCAAGCGUUGUUCGGAAUUACUGGGCGUAAAGGGCGCGUAGGCGGCCUGUUAAGUCGGACGUGAAAUCCCCAGGCUCAACCUGGGAACUGCGUCCGAUACUGGCAGGCUUGAAUCCGGGAGAGGGAUGCGGAAUUCCAGGUGUAGCGGUGAAAUGCGUAGAUAUCUGGAGGAACACCGAUGGCGAAGGCAGGUCUCUGGGCCACUACUGACGCUGAGAAGCGAAAGCAUGGGGAGCGAACAGG
rnacentral:rRNA from 1 species